CAGCCCCCAGACCCUGAACAGCACUGGCCACUACACGGAGCCACCACCCUGGCCCUGGCCUGGGUGGGUGGGGGUCCCCCGGGGAGCACAGCGCAGUGCUAGGGCCCCUGUAGCAGAUUCCCAGGAGACACACACCCAGCUGGGCCUGCUGACACUAGCCCUGCAUUCCCACACCCCCUCCCCUGGCCCUCUCAGCUGCCUUGUCCUCUCCUGGUCAGCUGCCUGGGGACACUGUCACGAUGCCUGGCCCCUGACCUUGCCCGAAGCUCCUCGGUGUCUGGACAUUCAGCCCGACAUGCUCUGAGGUUUGGGGCAGGUCCAGCACUCUGUGGGUCCACCCCAUCAGCCCUCAGGGUGGGACUCAUGCAGCCACAGUUUGAGAGUUCCAGGAACCACAAGUCCUGAGUCAGCGGGCACCUGACCCCUUAUGUCACCUGCCCCAGGUGGAAGGAGACGCUACAGGGACCAAGCAUGCCCCACCUUCGCUUCCGGGACCACAGAGCCCCUGGAGCCUGCACGCCACGGAGUCUCCCACUGAGGAGUGAGGAGGCCUCUUGUGGGGACAGAUCUGGAAUGAGUGGCAUCCAAACCUGACUCAUAUUUCCAACUUUAUUAAUUUUUGCAAGACUUCGGAGGGUGCUCUGUGGCGAUUAAUAUUGCUGAGCUGAGCACAGCUGCAGUACUUUCCUGUAAAACUGACUAAAGGAGAAGUUGGUGUCUUCCUCAUACAAGAAAUACAUAAAUCAGUUAAAAAUAGUUCUCCGAGCGGAUAUGAUGAUGUCGUGGCCGUCACAGGAAACACAUGAAUCAGCCUCAUCCUCAGUUCCAGGGAAGUGGGGACAGUCGGUGGUCCUUGGACCCCUCUUGGGGCGCGUGGGUGAGGCAGGGUCCCUCUGGCUUUACCUCAUACCCGGACUGGCAAAGCUGCCUGGGAGGACAACUAAAACCAUGCUCCUUUGAUUCUGUGGACAUUGCUAAUUGCUGGGCGUUCAUUUCUUGAAUUCAGACCUUCUCAUGAACCAGAGGAGCUGGCUCAGAAAAAUGCCGGUGACGCAUGGGCCUGAACUGGUCAGUGCAGCUCAGAGAUGCUCGCCGUGGGGGACGUGCAGUUUGCCUGUGGGCCAGUUGUCCACCCGUCACCGUUACCCCGCUGAGGAAGCUGUGGGUGCCACCCAGAGAGCUUGGGUACAACACGGUCUCUGCUUUACUCAUAAAAAGCCAAGACCUAUGUGGUCAUGGAGCGUUAAAACAGAAAUUUCACACCACGCCGUACGGUCCCCGAGGCCAGGGUGUUGGCACAUUUCACAUCCAGGAGGUGCCGUCGCUGUCACUGGCUCAGCAAAGCCAGUGCCGAAGCCACUGCAACUGCCUGAGGCCCAGCGGUGGCUGGGAGCCAAUUGGUGUCACUCGGUUACCACAGGGAAGGAGACGUGGCUGUAGAGGCUUGUCG
rnacentral:lncRNA from 1 species